rnacentral:tRNA from 1 species
GGCUUUAUAGUCAAAUGAAUGAUGUUAGAUUGCAAGUCUAGAGUUGUUGUAUAAACUAAGGCUU